rnacentral:rRNA from 1 species
UACGUAGGGUGCGAGCGUUGUCCGGAAUUAUUGGGCGUAAAGAGCUCGUAGGCGGUCUGUCGCGUCGGUCGUGAAAACCUGCAGCUUAACUGUGGGCGUGCGGUCGAUACGGGCAUGACUGGAGUUCGGCAGGGGAGACUGGAAUUCCUGGUGUAGCGGUGAAAUGCGCAGAUAUCAGGAGGAACACCGGUGGCGAAGGCGGGGUCUCUGGGCCGAUACUGA